rnacentral:rRNA from 1 species
CCUACGGGUGGCAGCAGUAGGGAAUCUUUCACAAUGGGCGAAAGCCUGAUGGAGCACCGCCGCGUGCAGGAUGAAGGCCUUCGGGUUGUAAACUUCUUUUAUAAGCGAGAAAUAUGAUGGUAACUUAUGAAUAAGGAUCGGCUAACUACGUGCCAGCAGCCGCGGUCAUACGUAGGAUCCGAGCAUUAUCCGGAGUGACUGGGUGUAAAGAGUUGCGUAGGUGGCAUAAUAAGUAGCUAGUGAAAUCUGGUGGCUCAACCAUUCAGACUAUUAGCUAAACUGUUAAGCUCGAGACCGUUAGGGGUAACUGGAAUUUCUAGUGUAGGAGUGAAAUCCGUAGAUAUUAGAAGGAACACCAAUAGCGUAGGCAGGUUGCUGGGACGGUUCUGACACUAAGGCACGAAAGCGUAGGGAGCAAACGGGAUUAGAUACCCCUGUAGUC